UACAGAGGUCUCAAGCGUUGUUCGGAUUCAUUGGGCGUAAAGGGCGCGUAGGCGGCGGGGUAAGUCGGGUGUGAAAUCUCAGAGCUCAACUCUGAAACUGCACUCGAUACUGCUCUGCUUGAGGACUGGAGAGGAGACUGGAAUUCACGGUGUAGCAGUGAAAUGCGUAGAUAUCGUAAGGAAGACCAGUGGCGAAGGCGGGUCUCUGGACAGUUCCUGACGCUGAGGCACGAAGGUCAGGGGAGCAAACGGG
rnacentral:rRNA from 1 species